UCGGGUCUUUUUCUCAGGGCUAUCUCUACAAUUGCCUGGCUCCGCCAUCGCUCCUCUGCCUCUCUCUACAAGCACACUCUCGUGUCACGUCUCGUUGUGCUCGUUAGCGAAAUUUUCAUUUCGGUGCAACUGCGGCUCGAAUUCUGCGCGUCGCGUGUUCCCGAGGUUAUGCUGCUGAAGCUUUUCGCGGAGUUUGACUCAGUUUCUGUUGCAUUUUGUCGAGCUGUCAAGAGUUUUGCGCGUUGAACCAUACUUUCAGGACAAAAAGGGCUUGAUUUCUUUCUUUUCUACCUGGGGUGUUUCUACCUUGAAACGAUUGCAAAUGCCGCAGCGCAACUGUUUUGCUGAGUGAAAUACAGGAUUUUCAGCAUAGCUUUUCAGGGCGAAGCAUAUAUCCUGUGUCGGAAGCGUGACUCCCGAAAGAUGACACAUACUCUGUUCCUUACUAUUGAUCAAUUGCCUGCUUGAACCUGUAAUCUAUGCUCAUAGGCCGCAGUGAACCCGAUCCUCUCUCACAGGGCGUGGUUUUAGUCUCAGUACAUUCUGUUACAUAUACAUCCAUUUCUUGGAUAUAUUUGCACCCGGUGCACGGAUCUGGAUAUUGGUCUCCUUUGUAUAGUUUCGAAGAAGAAUUCCCCCCUUUUAUUUUCAGAAGCCUUACAGUAUACCGGCUAAUCAUAUAUAUAUAUAUAUAUAUAUAUACAUAUAUUGUCAAGUAAUUUCCACACAUACAAGGGCUUCGCUAAGCCAUUAUCUCAAAAGAGUUCGACAAAAUUGCGACACCAUCUGUAAGAAUGCCUGGACUGCGUUGCCCCGAGCCGACGACAACUACACCUCAUGGAAGCUUCAAUGGUCGAACGCCUACCGACUACGACGCUACAUGGGAUCCUGUAGACGUUCACUCUUUGCAUUUUCCAGCUGUGGAAUCAGUGCCCUUUGUCCCUAUCAAGCACAAAGCAUGCCGUCCGCCUCAGUGGAUGAAAGGCAAAUCGGGUUCUGCUUUCAACGUCUUCACCAGCACAGGUUGCCCUUUGAGUGUCAGUGUACCUGCACAAGGCAGCAGUUACAAUGAUAGUGACGACCUUGCAGCGAUGGUGCACGAUUUUAUUGAGAGCGACUCUCCUGCUCUCCUCGACGGAAACGAAAGCGACAGCGGACCUCCCAGCGUUUUCAAGCGUGGUGACGCCUUGCAGGUGCUGACAUCUUCGUAUGGAGGAAUUGAAGGAGAGCUACUGAACGUCGUUCGCAAGCUAGUUUUAGCCAUCGACGUUGACACAGAUUUAAUUUGCAACUCCGAAGGUACCGACUGCCGGGGUGGAUGCAUCAAACGCCUGGUUGUCAACCAGUUACGUGCUGCAGGUUUUGAUGCGGCUGUUUGCAAAUCAAAGUGGGAAGGUUCUGGACUUGUGCUCAGAGGUACGUUGCACAUGGGUGAGUACGAGUAUAUCGAUGUGGAGGGGUAUGGAGAGCGUUUGAUAGUGGAUGUGGAUUUUCAGGAGCAAUUUGUACUGGCGAGAGCGACUCCUGAAUACCUCACUACACUGAAGCUCCUGCCCACUGUUUUUGUGGGCACGACGAAGAGGUUGGAGCAGAUUCUUCAAAUUAUGUCGGAAGCGGUGAAAGUGUCUCUGAAGCAAAAUUCCAUGCCGCUUCCGCCUUGGCGCACUCUUGGUUUCAUGAGCUCCAAGUGGCUUUCGCCUCAUGAACGCGUUGUAAAUAGGUCGUGGUCAUGUGUGCCUGGAGGUUCUCCGAGCUUAUCUUUGAAAGGAAGGCUUGCAUGCAUGCCUGAGACCAGGCCAUGUGAUGUCCAUUUACAACGUAUUAAAGAUUCCCUCCUUUCGGAUAUGGAUGGCUCAACGCUGAACAUCCUGGGACCAAGUAGAACUCGACAAUACUCAAAGCCGCGUGCGAAGCGAAGCAUCCUGUGAGUCUGCAUGUCAACAGGGCUGGAUAUUGUUCGGAGUGCAACAACGAGUUACAGAUUUUACAUGCGGCAACCUUGGUUGGGGUGACAACUUGGACUCAAAACUGCCAGUUAGUUUCUUAGAAGAGGGUUAUUUUCUAGACCUCACGGCAUCCUGGCUUAAUCUAAUAUAUUGAGCCCCUUAACAUUUUCCUAGCCACAGUAAAGAUGUGAGGAUUUGGAGGCUACGGACAGUCGAAGACAGCGCGUCUGGCGGGUUCUGUAUCUGCGAUGUCGCUUUGUAUCGACUCUAUGUAAGAGAGGAACCAAUCAGAUGUACCAAGUGAAGAGUUUUAUUACGCUUUUUGUAUGACGAGGCUAAGUACACUCUUGAGCGACACCAUCUUCAUGACAUGACAGUUGGUUUGAAAGGAGGACAACAACAUGAUGGGAGGAACCCUAAGCCCUAAACCUUGUCCUCAGGCAUGUCGAGGCCCUUUGGAAGCUUCCUCUUGCUACUUUUGGUUAAAUUCGAGGGUAAGACCUAGCAUCGAAGGGAGGGCAGAAUCCAACUCCAGCCAAGCAAGGCUCUUGCGUUGUGCGCGAGACAUGGGCCUCACUCUCCCCAUUUUUGUUUUGGUUCCUUGCUUGCUGUUGCCCAGCGCUUUGCUUGCUUCCAACAAUACAGUUGCUUCGUGCAGCACGUGAAAGACACUAUUGUGAGAGACUUAAUUUAAGUCUUAUCGGGUCCCCAAAAGAUGGGAAGCAAUCUCACUUUAUUGCA